GUACUGAUGAAGAGUUCCAGAACAAAACGCAACAGUUGUCCAGUAC
rnacentral:hammerhead_ribozyme from 1 species